GCCAGGCAUGGUGGCUCAUGCCUGUAAUCCCAGCACUUUGGGAGGCCGAGAUGGGUGGAUCACCUGAGGUCAGGAGUUUGAGACGAGCCUGACCAACAUGGAGAAACCCCAUCUCUA
rnacentral:sRNA from 1 species